rfam:Schistosoma mansoni, Puerto Rico, WGS project CABG01000000 data, contig: 0185
UGCCAGCCGACGAGUCCUAAACAGGACGAAACUUGCUUCCUGGAU